UAUAUUCUUUUUCAUGCUGCUUUUUUUUGUCCAAUCAGCUGUAAUAUGCUAAUUAGAUUGCAUUAGCCCGUGUGCGCGCAUGUUGUUCAUGAUUAUUAGCUUUUUUUUUUAUUUCAUUUCAGUUGCGCAUUGCAGGAACUUCAGGAAGUGGCAGUCCUGCUCUACACAACCUUCAAAUUUUCAAGUUUUAGAUCUGCUAAGUGAUAAAGAUGAAUGAUACAAUGGAAGAUUUGAAUAUGUGUGUGGAUGAAGAUUCGGAAUCAUUACACAUACUGAGAUCUCAACUUGAUGAAAAAAGAC